rnacentral:rRNA from 1 species
UACGUAGGGUGCGAGCGUUGUCCGGAAUUAUUGGGCGUAAAGAGCUCGUAGGCGGUUUGUCGCGUCGACUGUGAAAACCCGAGGCUUAACCUCGGGCCUGCAGUCGAUACGGGCAGACUAGAGUUCGGUAGGGGAGACUGGAAUUCCUGGUGUAGCGGUGAAAUGCGCAGAUAUCAGGAGGAACACCGGUGGCGAAGGCGGGUCUCUGGGCCGAUACUGACGCUGAGGAGCGAAAGCAUGGGGAGCGAACAGG